GACGAACGCUGGCGGCGUGCUUAACACAUGCAAGUCGAACGGAAAGGCCCUGCUUUUGUGGGGUGCUCGAGUGGCGAACGGGUGAGUAACACGUGAGUAACCUGCCCUUGACUUUGGGAUAACUUCAGGAAACUGGGGCUAAUACCGGAUAGGAGCUCCUGCUGCAUGGUGGGGGUUGGAAAGUUUCGGCGGUUGGGGAUGGACUCGCGGCUUAUCAGCUUGUUGGUGGGGUAGUGGCUUACCAAGGCUUUGACGGGUAGCCGGCCUGAGAGGGUGACCGGCCACAUUGGGACUGAGAUACGGCCCAGACUCCUACGGGAGGCAGCAGUGGGGAAUAUUGCACAAUGGGCGGAAGCCUGAUGCGGCAACGCCGCGUGGGGGAUGACGGCCUUCGGGUUGUAAACCGCUUUCGCCUGAGACGAAGCGUGAGUGACGGUAAUGGGUAAAGAAGCACCGGCUAACUACGUG
rnacentral:rRNA from 1 species